GACUGCCUCCUCUCCGAAUACACCACUCUGCUCCCCAACGGCAAAUCAAAGGGCUGAUACAUUUUCCUGUUUACACGGACAGGCGCUCUGGAGCCGUCCGAGUUGGAGACCUUCAAGAAGCAGGCAGAAUGUCUCAAUUUCCUGCCGGAGUACAUCUUUGGAGGCACAAAUCUGUGUCCCGAUGAAAGAGAAACUGCUUCACCCGCUGCAGAGGACACACAGACUGA